ensembl:lncRNA
UCUCACUUUGGCCCCGUAGGUCUUUUCCAGCUCGUCGCGGGUAGUGCCGGAUCUGAUCCUCGUGCUGCCGCCGCAGGUCCUGCAGCGCCUCGGCCAAUUUGCUCUCGAAUUCCUGCUGCCGCCCGUUGUCGAUCUCCACCAGGCGCGUCUCGUGCCGCCGUUUGGUCUCCCGCAGCUCCUGGGGAGGGGGGGGGCACACGGUGUCACUUGGGGGGCACACGGGCAUCAUUUGGGGGCACACGGCAUCAUUUGGGGGGCACAUGGCGCCGCUUGGGGGGCACACGGUGUCACUUGGGGGGCACACGGUGCCAUUUGGGGGCACACAGCGUCAUUUAAGGGCACACGGUGUCACUUGGGGGGCAAGUGGCACCACUUGGGGGGCACACGGUGUCAUUUGAGGGGCACAGUGUCACUUGGGGGGCACGUGGCACCACUUGGGGG